AGUGGUGAUGAGGAGUUGGAAGGGUAGGGGAAAAAAAGCCUGGAGCGUGAUGGCCUGACUGGUAUUUUAAGAAGGACAUCUUCAUUCCUUCCUGCCAGAGUGAGUGAUCUACCUCCAUUUGCCAUGGUAGCGAGCCGCCUGACCCUGCGGGGGCAGUCCGGCCGACUGGCCCUUCUCGGGGGCAGCGAGCAGUGUGUCCCUUAAGCAGGCUUGACCGACCUACAGUCACACUCUCUGCGGUCACGCCCUGGCCAGAGGGAUUUGAGAUGUGGCAGCAUAAUCAAUUUCCAUGAUUCAUGAUCACCCCAAACGGAGGUCGUGCUGAGCGACUGGGCAGCUGAAAGAAGAGAGCAGACGGGGAAUGCUGACAACAGAGCUGAGUCCACUGCCAUGUAUAGGAGAGGCGACGCUCUUCCUCAGGCUGCCGUGGGGUCAGGUCUUCCUCUUUGCUGAGUAACUACAUCGAUCCCAACACAGCAAUUCUUGUUCUAAUCAGCUCCAAAGAAAAUCUGCUGAACAGACUCAGCAACAAAACGGCCAAUAGCAGCAGGGUGGUGCUGGUGUGAUUUAUCUCACCUGUCGUUGUUCUGCCUUUGAUGAAAACAACAACUGUGGUCGACGUUCUCACGGGGAAAUUGGAGAGAGCUCUUCUUAGGUAACUAGUUUAACUGCUGGAGAAUCAACAAAGAUAUUAGUCAGUCACAUGAGUUAACGGUGUGACGUCUCACACUGUAAACAGCUGUUGGAGUCAUAUCAUGGCAGUCAUGGCGGAUUCCAGACCAGUUCACAAAACGGCUUCCUCUCUCUCGUAUCAUGUUCAGCUCAAGCCACCAGACAUUUUGUUUAGUUUGUUUACAUAUAAUUGAAAAAUGAAAAAGAAAA